rnacentral:rRNA from 1 species
GGGAAAGAUUCAUCGGUAUGGGAUGGGGUCGCGUCCUAUCAGCUUGAUGGCGGGGUAACGGCCCACCAUGGCUUCGACGGGUAGCCGGCCUGAGAGGGCGACCGGCCACAUUGGGACUGAGAUACGGCCCAGACUCCUACGGGAGGCAGCAGUGGGGAAUAUUGCACAAUGGGCGCAAGCCUGAUGCAGCGACGCCGCGUGCGGGAUGACGGCCUUCGGGUUGUAAACCGCUUUUGACUGGGAGCAAGCCCUUCGGGGUGAGUGUACCUUUCGAAUAAGCACCGGCUAACUACGUGCCAGCAGCCGCGGUAAUACGUAGGGUGCAAGCGUUAUCCGGAAUUAUUGGGCGUAAAGGGCUCGUAGGCGGUUCGUCGCGUCCGGUGUGAAAGUCCAUCGCUUAACGGUGGAUCCGCGCCGGGUACGGGCGGGCUUGAGUGCGGUAGGGGAGACUGGAAUUCCCGGUGUAACGGUGGAAUGUGUAGAUAUCGGAAAAGAACACCA